rnacentral:lncRNA from 1 species
GCUUUCUGUUGUCAUCCACCGUAACUAUCAUGUUGCGUGAUUAACACAGGUAUAAUUAGUAAGUCUUUGUUUGGAAAUUCAAUCAGCAAGUCGCAGACGUAGUUAUAGCAUGAGACUGCGUUUGUGCCAUCAGUAACUAUUUGCUUGAAGGGGUGUGUGAGUGAGUAUGGUUUUACGCCGCUUUUAGCAAUAUUCCGGUAAUAUCACGGCGGGGGAUACCAGAAAUGGGCUUCACACAUUGUACCCAUGUCGGGAAUUGAACCCGUCAAUGGCGAGCGAACGCUUUAACCACUAGGUUUCCCGACCGCCCCUUUGCUUGAAGGAAGGUAUUUGGUGUAUAUUAUAGAAUUUUCACUUCAUUUACUCGGCAGGUGCAACGAUGCUUCAGAUUGUUUUAAUAGAAUUCAGUUGUACAUUAAGUAUGAGGGCCCUUUCCAAAUACUGCCGCAUGUAUUACUGUAAAAACGCCAGUAGUCUACCUGAGCUUGGUUUCGUUGCUAGGAUUUGAUGUGUGUUCUUUGCUGUAAAUGUUGUGUAUUUUGUUUGCAACCUGUGCUAAUUCAUGACAGAGAGCAUGUUAUUGGGUUGAUAAAGGGACCAUGUCUGUCUCAGUGGCCCGUAUAAUCAGAUGCGACGCUUGCCAAAUAAUUCCAGGGGUCCACAAACGGUUUGGGACACAGUGGUGAUGUCGCCAAGCAGGAAUCUGUGACGUCAACAAUGAAGCAACGUCAUUGUUUAUUGUGUCCCCAUAAGUAAUGACAUCACAGAAUAGAUACGUCAACAAUCAGCUGACGUCAUAGACAAUCAGAUUAUCGGCAGUGUACGCUGCCGGAGGACGUGUUGCUUUCGGGAUGUAUGACAAAAGCAGGUUUUGUUGUGACAGGAACGGAAUUAGGCAGAGUGGCCCGUAUAAUCAGAUGCGACGCUUGCCAAAUAAUUCCAGGGGUCCACAAACGGUUUGGGACACAGUGGUGAUGUCGCCAAGCAGGAAUCUGUGACGUCAACAAUGAAGCAACGUCAUUGUUUAUUGUGUCCCCAUAAGUAAUGACAUCACAGAAUAGAUACGUCAACAAUCAGCUGACGUCAUAGACAAUCAGAUUAUCGGCAGUGUACGCUGCCGGAGGACGUGUUGCUUUCGGGAUGUAUGACAAAAGCAGGUUUUGUUGUGACAGGAACGGAAUUAGGCAGAGGUAAGUCAGAGCUAUAUUCUUUGAUGCGAAACCGUUUUCUUUCAAUAUUCAAACAGACCUUCGCGUUAUCCAGUGACGUGUGUUCACUGCAGACGACUGUUUAGAUUUGGCGAUUGUAUCCUAAAUUCCUCUGUCUAGUAAUUUAGUAUGACUAAUAGACAAAGCUUAUGGUGACGAGGAAAGUGUUCUUGGCAGCGUCGGCAUUGUGGUAGUAAAUGAAUGGGCUUGGUACGAGCGUUAAAUGUGUUUUUAAUUGAAUGUGAUUGGAUAACUAGUAUGUUGCCUUUUCAAGGUAAUGUACAGAGUUAACGUUCGGAUUUGUAUAGUGACUGUUGGUUGCUGUCACAUAAUAUGACUUGAAUGCGUGUGCCUAGAUGAGAUCGCGUAGUUGU